rnacentral:tRNA from 1 species
GAGAGAGACAUGAUCGUAACGAUAUCUGCUAAUUUUCGCCCUCCUGGUUUAAAUCCCGGACUCACUCA